rnacentral:lncRNA from 1 species
AUCUCAACGAACAUGCAGAUUUGGAUCCAAAACCAAUAAAAAUCCAUAUGAAUGAAUUUCUUAACCCAAAAUCCAAAGUCCACAAAUAAGAUCUAAAACCCAAAGUCCACAAAUAAAUCCCCGUCACCGAAAGCCCUACCGAUUAAAAUCUCUAGCAGAUAGCAGUUAGAUUUUAUUUUUCACUUUUCCGAUGUCGGAAUGACAUGAAACUUUAAAUUUAGUCUCAUAAAAAUAAUCCCGACAUAUUCUCAGAUUUUCAUAAUUUUCUAACACUGUGAAUUUUCUGCUAAAAUAUCAGCCACAUUCUUUACAGAAAAUUCUAAAUUUUCUGUUUCCAUUCCAAUUUCAACACAAGUCAUUCUGACUUACAUUUUACUUCUUUAAGUCCAAAAAAAAUAGUAUCUUACACUAUUUUUAUUUACACUUACUUUUAUAUUAAGAAUCCGGUACAUUACAUUCCACCCCACCUAAAAAAAUUUUCGUCCUCGAAACUUCAAUCACCCUCAACUCGACCUAUCGAGCCAUUGAGGAUAUUAACACACCUUCCCCAUAGGGAACACACUCUGAUUC